AUGAACGCUAGCUACAGGCUUAACACAUGCAAGUCGCGGGGCAGCAUGGGGGUUGCUUGCAACUCCCGAUGGCGACCGGCGCACGGGUGAGUAACGCGUAUCCAACCUGCCCUUCACCACGGGAUAACCCGGCGAAAGUCGGACUAAUACCGUAUGUUGUCCAUUGACGGCAUCCGAUUUGGACGAAAGGCUUUGCGGUGAAGGAUGGGGAUGCGUCCGAUUAGCCAGACGGCGGGGUAACGGCCCACCGUGGCUACGAUCGGUAGGGGUUCUGAGAGGAAGGUCCCCCACACUGGAACUGAGACACGGUCCAGACUCCUACGGGAGGCAGCAGUGAGGAAUAUUGGUCAAUGGGCGUAAGCCUGAACCAGCCAAGUAGCGUGCAGGAUGACGGCACUAUGGGUGGUAAACUGCUUUUAUGCGGGGAUAAAGUGGCCCACGGGUGGGCUUUUGCAGGUACCGCAUGAAUAAGGACCGGCUAAUUCCGUG
rnacentral:rRNA from 1 species